rnacentral:tmRNA from 1 species
GGGGAUGUAAUGGUUUCGACAUUAUACCCGAAAAAUGAAUAGCAAGUAGUGGAUUCUCGUUGGCCACUUUAAAAAACGGGAAAAUAAAUAUAAACGCAGAAAAUAAUAAUGAGUAUGCUUUAGCAGCUGCUUAAUAGCUGCUACACUUUUCUAGAUGUGCCUACGCAUUUAGAUAAAGUGAUGAAAUAGUAGGAAACGAAACUACUUUUGCUUUUGAAGUAGUGGGUAAAAUAAAAAGCUAUCGUUUCUAUAACCUGUUUGCCGGUAUAUAGAAAAAGAGGAAGAAAGACAAACUAAACUUGUAGAAGUUCAUUUGGAAAGUAUUAUGGACAGGAGUUCGACUCUCCUCAUCUCCACCA